CUUCCCAUUUGACUACCAUAUUUUCUCCUAAUAAUAGAUUUUAGUGGCUGUGUUUAUGGAGAGAUUAUAAUUGCCAUGAUCUGAAGAGGAAGGAUUUGUGUCCUCUUCCUAUAUGAAAUGGAUGAGCAGAAAAAA
ensembl:snoRNA small nucleolar RNA SNORA29